GAUCAUGGCUCAGGACGAACGCUGGCGGCGCGCCUAACACAUGCAAGUCGAACGGAAUCAAGAGGAGCUUGCUUUUCUUGAUUUAGUGGCGAACGGGUGAGUAACGCGUGAGUAACCUGCCCUGGAGUGGGGGACAACAGUUGGAAACGACUGCUAAUACCGCAUAAGCCCACGGUACCGCAUGGUACUGAGGGAAAAGGAUUAAUUCGCUUCAGGAUGGACUCGCGUCCAAUUAGCUAGUUGGUGAGG
rnacentral:rRNA from 1 species